AGUGAACGCUGGCGGUAGGCCUAACACAUGCAAGUCGAACGGCAGCACAGUAAGAGCUUGCUCUUACGGGUGGCGAGUGGCAGACGGGUGAGGAAUACAUCUGAAUCUACUUUUUCGUGGGGGAUAACGUAGGGAAACUUACGCUAAUACCGCAUACGACCUACGGGUGAAAGCAGGGGAUCUUCGGACCUUUCGCGAUUGAAUGAGCCGAUGUCGGAUUAGCUAGUUGGCGGGGUAAAGGCCCACCAAGGCGACGAUCCGUAGCUGGUCUGAGAGGAUGAUCAGCGACACUGGAACUGAGACACGGUCCAGACUCCUACGGGAGGCAGCAGUGGGGAAGAUUGGACAAUGGGCGCAAGCCUGAUCCAGUCAUACCGCGUGGGGGAAGAAGGCCUUCGGGUUGUAAAGCCCUUUUGUUGGGAAAGAAAAGCAGCAGGUUAAUACCCCGCUGCUCUGACGGUACCCAAAGAAUAAGCACCGGCUAACUUCGUG
rnacentral:rRNA from 1 species